rnacentral:rRNA from 1 species
UGGUAUCCUGUCUGAAUAUGGGGGGACCAUCCUCCAAGGCUAAAUACUCCUGACUGACCGAUAGUGAACCAGUACCGUGAGGGAAAGGCGAAAAGAACCCCGGCGAGGGGAGUGAAAAAGAACCUGAAACCGUGUACGUACAAGCAGUGGGAGCCUCUUUAUGGGGUGACUGCGUACCUUUUGUAUAAUGGGUCAGCGACUUAUAUUCUGUAGCAAGGUUAACCGAAUAGGGGAGCCGAAGGGAAACCGAGUCUUAACUGGGCGUUAAGUUGCAGGGUAUAGACCCGAAACCCGGUGAUCUAGCCAUGGGCAGGUUGAAGGUUGGGUAACACUAACUGGAGGACCGAACCGACUAAUGUUGAAAAAUUAGCGGAUGACUUGUGGCUGGGGGUGAAAGGCCAAUCAAACCGGGAGAUAGCUGGUUCUCCCCGAAAGCUAUUUAGGUAGCGCCUCGUGAAUUCAUCUCCGGGGGUAG